AUGAUAUUAGUAAAAAUUAUUACACUGCUUUGUCAGGGCAGAAAUGUAGGUUAAAACCCUGCAUAUCAUU
rnacentral:tRNA from 1 species